rnacentral:lncRNA from 1 species
CCUUGGCCCCCCACAGUGCUGGGGUUACAGCUGUGAGCCACCGCGCCUGGCUCUGCCAAAAUAAUUUUAUUAGAGAACUUGAGGGCAGUGCCCAGAAUUGAAGGCGAAGCCCCAGAAGCAUGUUUUGCAGAGAAGUGCCCAGGGAAGCUCUGAGGGCCCAUGUAGCAAAGAUCAGGGGAUAGUCGGUCUGAGGGUGAAUGGGCCACUCGGACCAAGACCCCAGUCUUGGGGGAGGGCUUAGCUGGAGCAGGUCCUGGCACAGUUGACUGAUGGUGCACAGAACCCGUGCAUCCCACGGCCCCACGGUGCUGCAGCUGCAGGAGGGGCGGAGGCUGCAGCCAGACAGCAUCAGAAGCCAGCGUGGUUCUGGAAGGAUCGAGAACACCAAGGUGUUAGGGCUGCAGCAGGGGUCCUGUCCCCUGGCACCCCUCACCGCCCUAAUCUUUUACCCUUAGGAGGCAGCAGACACGAGGGGCUGCCCGAGGCUCUAGGGCGGCCAGUGAGGCAGGAAACAUGUUCCAGCCCCAGCUAGGUACUGGUCCGUGGACCCACCUCCCAGAAAGCCCAUCACUGUGUAAUCGUCUAACCUGGGGCUCGCCGAGGCCUAUGCCUUGAGUCCACCCAAAUAGGGGAUGUGAUGUUUGGAGCUGCAGCAGCCGCCCUACGGUUGGGAGUCAGAGAAGAGCCGGUGUUCCAGGGACAAUGCAGCAGAGGCUGAGCCCAGGCCUGCUGUCCUGAGAGGUGGCUGGAUCACUGACACUUUGGCAGUGGUGCUGGGGUUUAUGUCAUGACCUGCAGCUGAGCCUACUUCCAAUGACCGUGAGAUCUGAAAGACUGUUUUGAGGGCGUAGCCUCUGCCAUGAUUGUGGGGAAUGCUGUCCUGUUUCCUCCCUUGGCCCUGCUCAGCCCAGCGAGAGGCUGAGGCGCACGUGGCUCCCCGGGUGCCCACAGGCAGCGUGGCUCACCAGCCGGGCCCUUUUCCACUGAGCCAGAACCCCCCAAAGCCUUCAAUGCAGGCACCACGGCCCUGGAUGCCAGACACUGAAUAAACGCAGGAAGACGUCUGUCUUCAUUCUCCUCGUGGGUCGCUGGUCCAGAAACACCUGGAUGGAAAGUGCUCUGCAGGAACGGUGCCUCUGCCUGUGGCGGGGACCCUGGUGAGCGGAUGGGCCAGCCCCACGUGUCUUCCGGCCACUCAGCAUGCAGUGUUUCCAGGGGCACUAAGAGACCAAAAUCGAGAUAUGAUUAGCUGUAGGAUGUCAUCUAAUCACAGAUCAUCCCGAGGCUAAUUUAUCUCCCCCAUGACCAUAACACAUCAAAAAGUUGACUUUUUGCAGCUCGGCUGUGCCUCAUCUUCCCACGAAGCCCCGACAGGCACAUCCAGUGAGGAACCACAGUGGGAGUCCUGUGGCAGGGUCACCCCACUUCCGAUGCCCUCCAGCUGCAUCUUGGCACGAAAAAGGCUGCCCAGUUCUCAUGCCCUUUCAAGUCCCGGGCUGGGGGGUAGCAGUGGAGGCUGGGGUUAACCGCCGUCCGUCUCAAAGGCCUCAUUGUGGAGCUGCAAACACGAACGUCCUUGAAAUGUGAGGGGACAGUGCUCUGGGGCAGGGGCUGCUCACUGGUUCAUGGCCAGAGGUGAGCGGGCUCUGGGUCUGGGUCUGUGAGGUGCUGUGGACGUCGGGGGUGCUCCUGGGGCAGGGACACAGCCACGGCCCUCACACCAGUGGAGCCGUCUUCCUUCCCGAGGCAGAGGCUUGGCCUUCUCACACCUUGGGACCCUUCUCUCCCCUGUGCUCAUGCUGGAAGCACAGCGUGAGGGGGCAAAGGUCAUGGGAGGCAAAAGGCUGGGCUGAGGCCGAGGCUCUGUGGCUGUGGCCGGAUACCAGGUCCUGUGGUGGUGUGGGCAGGGCGCGCUCUCUCCUCUGAGCAGCCUGGGGCUGCGUGUGUGAACAGAAACAGGCCUGCCGAUUUGAAGAUGGUUUGACCAAGUCUCCCAAAGCUGAAGAGAGGUCCCUGCCCAUGUCCCCCGGGUGGCAAUCCACAGACGCACCUGUGUCCAUCAGACGGUAUCGUUGAUAGGGAGUCUGAAGCCACCCAGACGUGGUCUGUUCACGCCGUGGACACCACGGUCUGAGGCAGACGGUUACAGCCACCGGCAUAGGCGAAUCUCAGCCAGAGAGAGUGAACUGGGACACCAUUCACGUGAUGGGCCAGAUGGGCUGGCAGCGGCUCGCUGGAGCCGUCCGGGUGGGAACGCUGUGUCUGUUGGUCUGGUGCUGCUUAUGUGGCUGGUUCAGGUCUGUCAUCCGUCAACCUGCAUAUUUAUCACUGGUGCAUUUUCAUGUAUGUUGUACCUCAAUUAAAACAUUUUAGGGCCGGGCGCGGUGGCUCACGCCUGUAAUCCCAGCACUGUGGGAGGCGGAGGCGGG